rnacentral:rRNA from 1 species
ACGCUGCGGCAGGCCUAAUACAUGCNAGUCGAGGGAGAUUGUUGGAUUCGUCUGACAUGAAACCGGCGCACGGGUGCGUAACACGUAUGCAACCUACCUUUAACUGGGGUAUAGCUCAGAGAAAUCUGAAUUAAUCCCCCAUAAGACUACGACAUGGCAUCAUGAUGUAGUUAAAGCUCCGGCGGUUAAGGAUGGGCAUGCGGUACAUUAGCUAGUUGGUGAGGUAAUGGCUCACCAAGGCUACGAUGUAUAGGGGGUCUGAGAGGAUGAUCCCCCACACUGGUACUGAGACAGGGACCAGACUCNUACGGGAGGCAGCAGUAGGGAAUAUUGGUCAAUGGACGCAAGUCUGAACCAGCCAUGCCGCGUGAAGGAUGAAGGCCCUAUGGGUCGUAAACUUCUUUUAUUAGGGAAGAAAAAAUGGGAUGCGUCCUAUACUGACGGUACUUAAUGAAUAAGGAUCGGCUAACUUCGUGCCAGCAGCCGCGGUAAGACGAAGGAUCCAAGCGUUGUCCGGAUUUACUGGGUUUAAAGGGUGCGUAGGCGGAAAAUUAAGUCAGUGGUGAAAGCCCGCAGCUCAACUGUGGAACUGCCAUUGAAACUGGUUUUCUUGAAUAUAGCUGAGGCAGAUGGAAUAUAACAUGUAGCGGUGAAAUGCUUAGAUAUGUUAUAGAACACCGAUUGCGAAGGCAGUCUGCUAAACUAUUAUGACGCUGAGCACGAAAGCGUGGGGAGCGAACAGGAUAGAUACCCUG